UCGGGCACGGGGGGACGGGGUGCAGCAGGCGCGAAAACUCCGCAAUGCGCGCAGGCGUGACGGGGGGACCCCAAGUGCCGUUGGUCUUUCGAUCGACGGUUUUUAGGAAGUCUAAGAAGCUUCCGGAAUAAGGGCUGGGCAAGACUGGUGCCAGCCGCCGCGGUAACACCAGCAGCCCGAGUAGUGGCCACGAUUAUUGGGCCUAAAGCGCUCGUAGCCGGACCAGCAAGUCCCUUGUGAAAUCGGGCCGCCCAACGGUUCGGCGUGCAAGGGAUACUGUUGGUCUUGAGGCCGGGAGAGGUCGGAGGUACUCCUAGGGUAGCGGUGAAAUGCUCUAAUCCUAGGGGGACCACCAGUGGCGAAGGCGUCCGACCAGAACGGACCUGACGGUGAGGGGCGAAGGCUAGGGGAGCGAACGGGAUUAGAUACCCCGGUAGUCCUAGCUGUAAAGCAUGCGGGCUAGGUGUCUAGUGCUCCUCGAGGGCACUAGGUGCCGGAGGGAAGCCGUUAAGCCCGCCGCCCUGGGAAGUACGGCCGCAAGGCUGAAACUUUAAGAAAUUGGCGGGGGAGCACCACAAGAGGUGGGACCUGCGGUUCAAUUGGAUUCAACGCCGGAAAACUCACCAGGGGCGACAGCUGGUUGACGGCCAGGUUGACGAUCUUGCCCGACUAGCUGAGAGGUGGUGCAUGGCCAUCGUCAGCUCGUACCGUGAGGCGUCCUGUUAAGUCAGGCAACGAGCGAGAUCCUCGCCCUUAGUUGCCAUCGGUGGAAAGCCGGGUACUCUAGGGGGACCGCUGGCGCUAAGUCAGAGGAAGGAGAGGGCGACGGUAGGUCAGUAUGCCCCGAAUCCCCUGGGCUACACGCGGGUCACAAUGCGCAGGACAAUGAGAUGCAACCCCGUGAGGGGAAGCCAAGCCCAUAAACCUGCGCUCGGUUCGGAUCGAGGGCUGUAACUCGCCCUCGUGAAGCUGGAAUCCCUAGUAAUCGCGUGCCAACACCGCGCGGUGAAUGCGUCCCUGCUCCUUGCACGAAUUCGCCGA
rnacentral:rRNA from 1 species